rnacentral:rRNA from 1 species
CCUACGGGAGGCAGCAGUGGGGAAUAUUGGACAAUGGGGGGAACCCUGAUCCAGCGACGCCGCGUGAGUGAAGAAGUAUUUCGGUAUGUAAAGCUCUAUCAGCAGGGAAGAAAGAAAUGACGGUACCUGACUAAGAAGCCCCGGCUAACUACGUGCCAGCAGCCGCGGUAAUACGUAGGGGGCAAGCGUUAUCCGGAUUUACUGGGGGUAAAGGGAGCGUAGACGGCGAUGCAAGUCUGAAGUGAAAGGCGGGGCCCAACCCCCGGACUGCUUUGGAAACUGUAUGGCUGGAGUGCAGGAGAGGGAAGUGGAAUUUCUAGUGUAGCGGUGAAAUGCGUAGAUAUUAGGAGGAACACCAGUGGCGAAGGCGGCUUACUGGACUGUAACUGACGUUGAGGCUCGAAAGCGUGGGGAGCAAACAGGAUUAGAUACCCUAGUAGUC